GACGAACGCUGGCGGCGUGCCUAAUACAUGCAAGUCGAACGCUUCUUUCCUCCCGAGUGCUUGCACUCAAUUGGAAAGAGGAGUGGCGGACGGGUGAGUAACACGUGGGUAACCUACCCAUCAGAGGGGGAUAACACUUGGAAACAGGUGCUAAUACCGCAUAACAGUUUAUGCCGCAUGGCAUAAGAGUGAAAGGCGCUUUCGGGUGUCGCUGAUGGAUGGACCCGCGGUGCAUUAGCUAGUUGGUGAGGUAACGGCUCACCAAGGCCACGAUGCAUAGCCGGCCUGAGAGGGUGAUCGGCCACACUGGGACUGAGACACGGCCCAGACUCCUACGGGAGGCAGCAGUAGGGAAUCUUCGGCAAUGGACGAAAGUCUGACCGAGCAACGCCGCGUGAGUGAAGAAGGUUUUCGGAUCGUAAAACUCUGUUGUUAGAGAAGAACAAGGACGUUAGUAACUGAACGUCCCCUGACGGUAUCUAACCAGAAAGCCACGGCUAACUACGUG
rnacentral:rRNA from 1 species